GCAGCGGCCAGCGUCCUUGUCCUGCGGGGGCACUGCGUACAUCACUCGCCUUCAGAACACUGAGUCCUCCUACCUCCUGAUACCCUGCGGAUGGGAAGUCCCAGGCUGCCGUGGCUCCUGUGUGCUUUGAAGUUUUCUGGAUUUUUGUCAAACCUCCAGGGACCCUCAGCUGGAGAGGAUGGCAUGGGUGACACGCAGCUGGCCAGGGUGUGCGAUUCUGCUCUCAAGACCCCCUGGAGGCUCCCCCUCCCCCCGACCCCCAGCUCAUCUGUGAGAUGCUUGGAAGGGACUGCCUAUGCCUUCUUUCAGGAUAAAGCCUCAAGUCCUGCAA